UGUUACUCAACCAAUGACUCAAAAAAGGGAAUAAUUGCAGUUCUCUGCUUCCCAUGCUUAUAAUAAAUAAUGGUGGCCAAAUAGUGUAACAUGUGCAAGCCUUUAACCAGCAAGUAAUCACUACUCAGACAACAACACCGGCAGUUGCAGCAACAAUUAAUACAUAUUCAAACUCAGAAUACAAGUCGAAAUCGAAAACGCAACCGGCAAAUAACAAGGCAUCGGAUGAUGUACAACAAAUUACAUCGCACUUUUGGAGUAGCAGUUGAAAUAAUUUUCGGCGUGCCUUCUAUGAUGCCCUUGGAUCUACGCAAUGGAUAGCUCGGUAUAUACAGUAGAAAACAUUUGGUUUGAUUACAUAAUUUUUCAUAAUUCUACACACCACCGAGGCGUACUUGGGUUGUGUGCUUCGCUUUUUUUGCUACAAUUGUGGCAAUUACGCUGUUGUGCUAGUAUUUAAUCUUCACAAAAAUGUUAAUGUCCGAUGAACAGUACUUAAAUAAAUAUCAAAUAAAAUAAUUUUUUUUAAUUUA